GACAGAGGGUGCAAACGUUGCUACGGAAUUACUAGGGCGUAAAGCGCGUGUAGGCGGUUUCGCACGUCCGGUGUGAAAGCCCAAGGGCCUCGAACCCUGGAAGUGACACUGGAUACGACGGAGCUGGAGUACUGAAGAGGGAGAGCGGAAAUUCCCGGUGUAGAGGUGAAAAUUCGUAGAUAUCGGGAGGAACACCAGUGGCGAAGGCGGAGCUCG
rnacentral:rRNA from 1 species